UACGUAGGGGGCAAGCGUUGUCCGGAUUUAUUGGGCGUAAAGCGCGCGCAGGCGGUCUACCAAGUUCGGAGUGACAGUUUCCGGCUUAACCGGAAAAGGUCUUCGAAAACUGGUGGACUUGAGGACUUGAGGGGGAGACGGAAUUCCGGGUGGAGCGGUGAAAUGCGUAGAUAUCUGGAGGAACACCGGUGGCGAAGGCGACAUCCUGGACCGGUAUUGACGCUGAGGCGCGAAAGCCAGGGGAGCAAACGGG
rnacentral:rRNA from 1 species